UACGGAGGGUGCAAGCGUUAUCCGGAUUCACUGGGUUUAAAGGGUGCGUAGGAGGGCAGGUAAGUCAGUGGUGAAAUCUCCGAGCUUAACUUGGAAACUGCCGUUGAUACUAUCUGCCUUGAAUAUUGUGGAGGUGAGCGGAAUAUGUCAUGUAGCGGUGAAAUGCUUAGAUAUGACAUAGAACACCAAUUGCGAAGGCAGCUCGCUACACAUAUAUUGACGCUGAGGCGCGAAAGCCAGGGGAGCAAACGGG
rnacentral:rRNA from 1 species